CAAAUGUGAGAUGCAGUGUAUGGAAUGUCAAAUUUCUAGUAUGAGAAAUUAACGAUUUAAGUCCUUCUUAAAUGAGGCCAUUUACCCAAAGAGGGUGCCAGGCCCGUAUAACGUUAAUGAUUACUAGAUGACAUUUCCAAAGAGUCGUGUUGCUUGAUAGUGCAGCACUAAGUGGGUGGUAAACUCCAUCUAAAACUAAAUAUAACCAUGAGACCGAUAGUAAACAAGUACCGUGAGGGAAAGUUGAAAAGAACUCUGAAUAGAGAGUUAAAUAGUACGUGAAACUGCUUAGAGGUUAAGCCCGAUGAACCUGAAUAUCCUUUAUGAAAAAUUCAUCAUUAUGAUUUUAAUAUUAAUAAUAUUAUAAUAAUGGUGUGCAUUUUUUUCAUAUAUGGACAUUGUAAUCUAUUAACAACAUUAUUUAUCAUAAGAUCAUUGCGUAAGUUUAUUCAAAUUAUUUUGCUUGCAAUUUAACAUAGAAUAAAUGCUUUUGAUUUGAUAAAGUGUUGAUAGAUUUAUUAUAUAUAGUGCUUGAAUAUUUAUAUUCUAUAAUGGCAUAUUGAUCAUUGAUCUUUGUGUUUAUAUUAUAUGCACUUAUAUGAUUAACAAUGCGAAAGAUUCAGGAUACCUUCGGGACCCGUCUUGAAACACGGACCAAGGAGUCUAACAUAUUUGCAAGUUAUUGGGAAUUAAAAACCUAAUAGCGAAAUUAACAUAACUUAUAUAAUGGGAUUAGUUUUUAGUACUAUUUAUAGUCUAUUAAUUCAAUCCCGGGGCGUUCUAUACAGUUAUGUAUAAUAGUAUUUAUAUUAUUUAUACCUCUAACUAGAGCGUACCUUGAGCAUAUAUGCUGUGACCCGAAAGAUGGUGAACUAUACUUGAUCAGGUUGAAGUCAGGGGAAACCCUGAUGGAAGACCGAAACAGUUCUGACGUGCAAAUCGAUUGUCAG
rnacentral:rRNA from 1 species